CGGCGAACGGGUGAGUAACACGUGGGUGAUCUGCCUCGCACUCUGGGAUAAGCCUGGGAAACUGGGUCUAAUACCGGAUAUGAACAUGGUNCUGCAUGGACUGUGUUGGAAAGGUUUACUGGUGCGAGAUGGGCCCGCGGCCUAUCAGCUUGUUGGUGGGGUAACGGCCUACCAAGGCGACGACGGGUAGCCGACCUGAGAGGGUGACCGGCCACACUGGGACUGAGACACGGCCCAGACUCCUACGGGAGGCAGCAGUGGGGAAUAUUGCACAAUGGGCGAAAGCCUGAUGCAGCGACGCCGCGUGGGGGAUGACGGCCUUCGGGUUGUAAACCCCUUUCGACAGGGACGAANCGCAAGUGACGGUACCUGUAGAAGAAGCACCGGCCAACUACGUGCCAGCAGCCGCGGUAAUACGUAGGGUGCGAGCGUUGUCCGGAAUUACUGGGCGUAAAGAGCUUGUAGGCGGUCUGUCACGUCGAUUGUGAAAACUUGGGGCUCAACUCCAAGCUUGCAGUCGAUACGGGCAGACUAGAGUACUUCAGGGGAGACUGGAAUUCCU
rnacentral:rRNA from 1 species